AUUUUUACUUUAAAGAUUUCAACUACAGUGCUGGAAUAAUACAGAUAAGAUUAGCAUAGCCCCUGCACAAGGAUGACACAGAUAUUUGUGAAGUGUUCCAUACUUUU
rnacentral:snRNA from 1 species